rnacentral:rRNA from 1 species
UACGUAGGGUCCGAGCGUUGUCCGGAAUUAUUGGGCGUAAAGGGCUCGUAGGCGGUUUGUCGCGUCGGGAGUGAAAACACCGGGCUUAACUCGGUGCUUGCUUUCGAUACGGGCAGACUGGAGGUAUGCAGGGGAGAACGGAAUUCUUGGUGUAGCGGUGAAAUGCGCAGAUAUCAGGAGGAACACCGGUGGCGAAGGCGGUUCUCUGGGCAUUACCUGACGCUGAGGAGCGAAAGUGUGGGGAGCGAACAGG